UACGAAGGGGGCUAGCGUUGCUCGGAAUCACUGGGCGUAAAGCGCACGUAGGCGGCUUUCUAAGUCAGGGGUGAAAUCCCGGAGCUCAACUCCGGAACUGCCUUUGAUACUGGAGAGCUUGAGUUCGGGAGAGGUGAGUGGAACUGCGAGUGUAGAGGUGAAAUUCGUAGAUAUUCGCAAGAACACCAGUGGCGAAGGCGGCUCACUGGCCCGAUACUGACGCUGAGGUGCGAAAGCGUGGGGAGCAAACAGG
rnacentral:rRNA from 1 species